UGUGUUCAUAGUACGGCCCCCGGAGGAUUUUAUGACCAUGGUAGGAAUUUGAAGUGGCCCCUCGAAUGAAAAAGGUUCCCCACCCCUGCAUAAACCUUUCUACUAGCCACAGCUUUGCUGUCAGUACAUUUUAUUAUGAUACUAUAAGCUCAGAAAUUAAGUUGAUCAAACAAUUCGAUCUGUGCUAUAAACAUUUAAAUGAACCUACAGAAUAGGCUAUCAAAAUAGAAUCAUCUGAAUGAUCUUUCUUGGACAUAGGCCUACAUUUUGAAGUGACCCUUCGAAUUAAAAAGGUUCCUCUGCUGCUUUUGAGGAAAAACAUCAAUGUGCUUGGCCACUCUGUUUUUUUUUAAAUGGUAUUCUGAACUAAAGCAAGGAUUGUUCAAGUUAGUUGAAAAUAGACCGUCUCUGGUUAAAUUAGUUCUACACCAAGCCUUUAGGUGGCAGUAAAACUAAUUGGCACAAUGCGAAUUCCACACACAAGCCACAAAGAAGCCAUCAGCCGCGGUCAACAUCACCUUCCUGAUUGAACAGAACCACGCGUUGUCUGUGUGGUUUACAAGUUUCUUGGCGAUAUGGGGGAAAAGUUCCUCACAUACCAACGGAAAAUGGGCGUCAUAUACAUGCAGUCACACAGGGGUUCCAAGACCCACCGGCGUAAAAUCAAGUCAAAGGCUGCUGUCUCAUAAUAUGGCGAAGACGAGUCACCUGAAGGCCUAACUCGCCAUAGAAGACUGAAAGAAUUGUCCUGCAGGAUGCUGUGUCCUGCAAUCCUGUGUACUGUGCUACAGACGCAUGUGGAGGUCAACCCAAAAUGGGCACAGUCUCACCGCAGAAGAGUGAAAGAGGAUCCUGGCAGGGAGACGGUAGUGACCUGCAGAAUGGUGAUGGGCCAAUCUUACAAGAGACCACAGAAAACUGAUAUAGUGAACUAUAGAAACAACAGUGCCUGCUGCAGUAUAAUGAGGACACCCUGAGCAGAGAGCUCCAAUAGACCCAGGUCCAGUGUCUUGGCAGGGUGAAAUGGCACUGAUAUGGUGUCCUGCAGGAUGCUGUGUCCUGCAAUCCUGUGUGCUGUGCUACAGACGCGUGUGGAGGUCAACCCAAAAUGGGCACAGUCUCACCACAGAAGAGUGAAAGAGGCUUUAAAACUUAAGGCCACCGCUAUGGAGGGAGCGGCUGCAACCGCCACCAGCGCAGCAGCUGCCCAACAAGCUCGACCCUCCGAUUCCUCCACCUCCAGCUCCUCCACCUCCUCUUCAAGUGACUCGGAGCCAGAGAGGAAGAGAAAGAAGAGGAACAAGAGAGACAGGAAAAAGAGAGAGAAGAAGAGGAAGAAGGACAAGCACAGACAGACAGAAGGAGAGAACUUGCGAACACUUGCACCCUAUUGCGGAGCUCGCCUUCAGUAUCACCGCGGAAGGGCCUCUGCUACAUGGCGAAGAAAAAAAUAGGUCUUUGGCAUUUUAGGGAUAAGAAACGAGCGGAGGUGUCCCAUCCUGUGGCUGGUGAGGAGAAGAGGACGGGAGAAUCUUAUCCCAAUUGUGGUCAAGCAUGUGCGUCCAGGAGCCACCCUGAUCAGUGAUGAGUGGCGAGCAUACAGAGGCGCAUUAGCUGCCAUUGGCUACACUCACUUCACUGUUAACCAUUCAAGAUGGUUUGUUGAUCCAAACAGUGGGGCCCAUACACAGCACCUUGAGAGGGGUUACUGCCACACUUAUUGUGUGUGUGUGUGUGUGUGUGUGUGUGUGUGUGUGUGUGUGUGUGUGUGUGUGUGUGUGUGUGUGUGUGUGUGUGUGUGUGUGUGUGUGUGUGUGUGUGUGUGUGUGUGUGUGUGUUACAAUAUGUGAAGGCCUAUGACUUGCUUUCAUAAUAAUAAAAAGUUAUUGCUCUC